UGGGGAAUAUUGCACAAUGGAGGGAACUCUGAUGCAGCGACGCCGCGUGAACGAAGAAGGCUUUCGAGUCGUAAAGUUCUUUUAUAUGGGAAGAUAAUGACGGUACCAUAAGAAAAAGCCCCGGCUAACUACGUGCCAGCAGCCGCGGUAAUACGUAGGGGGCUAGCGUCGUCCGGAAUCACUGGGCGUAAAGGGUUCGCAGGCGGAAAUGCAAGUCAGGUGUAAAAGGCAGUAGCUUAACUACUGUAAGCAUUUGAAACUGCAUAUCUUGAGAAGAGUAGAGGUAAGUGGAAUUUUUAGUGUAGCGGUGAAAUGCGUAGAUAUUAAAAAGAAUACCGGUGGCGAAGGCGACUUACUGGGCUCAUUCUGACGCUGAGGAACGAAAGCGUGGGUAGCAAACAGG
rnacentral:rRNA from 2 species